AAGUCGUAACAAGGUUUCCGUAGGUGAACCUGCGGAAGGAUCAUUAUUGAAUAUUCUUGAUGGGUUGUAGCUGGCUCUUCGGGGCAUGUGCACGCCUGUCUUGACUUUAUUCAUCCACCUGUGCACCUUUUGUAGUCUUGGGGGUUGAGAGCAGUCAAUAAUCGGAUGACCAUUUGGUCACUCCGGGUGUGAGGAAUGCUGAGUGCGAAAGCAUACAGCUCUUCUCAAAGUGACUUGUAAUCCUCUCCUUCAAGUACUAUGUAUUCAUAUACCCAUAGUAUGUUGUAGAAUGUGAUCAAUGGGCCCAAGUGCCUAUAACAAUCAUAUACAACUUUCAGCAACGGAUCUCUUGGCUCUC
rnacentral:misc_RNA from 1 species